AAGGAAAAAGAACCGUCACCUGACUAAAGCUAGACGCUUCAGUCCAGAGUUCUCGAACACAGAUCCAGAUGGCAUCCACCUCGCCGGAACCAGCCGCCGCCGCCGCCGAGACCGACGGCUCCGUCCUGAUCCGCCGCCUAGAGAUCGCCGACCGCGAGAGGGGGUUCCUGCCCCUCCUCGCGCAGCUCUCCUCCUGCCCGGACCUCACCGCGUCCGAGUUCGCCGCGUGCUUCGCCGACCUCGCGGCCCUCGGCGACGACCACGUCAUCCUCGUGGCCGAGGACCCCGCCGCGGCCACCGAGCGGAGGAUCCUCUCCACGGGGUGCCUCUUCGUGGAGCGCAAGUUCCUCCGCGGCGGCGGCAAGGUGGGCCACGUGGAGGACGUCGUGGUCGACGCCGCCGCGCGCGGCCGCGGGCUCGGGCUCCGCGUCGUGCGCCGCCUAGUGGAGAUCGCCAAGGAGGCCGGCUGCUACAAGGUCAUCCUGGACUGCACCCCCGAGCUCCGCGCGUACUACGCCAAAUGCGGCUUCGUGGAGAAGGGGGUUCAGAUGGCCGUGUACUUCUGAUCCAUGGGACUUAUGAUUGGGCACACAUAAAUCUUUGACUAAAGCUGGAUAUUGCUUAGGUUCUGGAGAUGGUUGACUUUGCUAGUUUGGCGCCAACUGUUACAAGUCAUUUUGACACCUUCAGCAUGCGGCACACGUCCUAUUAUGGGAUUAAAAUGGCCAGGUGUUGAAGUGCUGUCAAGAAAGCUUUUGUCGACCAUCAGAAGCUGGAAACCGCUGUGCAAGAAAUGUAAUUCGAGCCCGUUGGACGACAAUCUGAUGAUGUUGGAUGAUGGGUGCGAGGAACAGCUGCGGAGCGCCUGAACAUGAACGCACUGCUGGUGGUGGGGGUGGUCUGGGGCCAAUCCCAACGAUUACUGAAAAUGCUCGUUCUAUCUUAAUGUAGCCGAUCCUGUAGUUCUCCUUCCUGGUGUCUUUUCUUUCUUUUAGAUGAUACACUUUUCACUGCGUUUUGAGCUGAGCUCAAUGAACCUGUAAUGAACUACUUGGUUGCAAUUAAUGGAGUAUACUUGCUUA